GAUGAACGCUGGCGGCGUGCCUAAUACAUGCCAGUCGAGCGAACGGACGAGAAGCUUGCUUCUCUGAUGUUAGCGGCGGACGGGUGAGUAACACGUGGAUAACCUACCUAUAAGACUGGGAUAACUUCGGGAAACCGGAGCUAAUACCGGAUAAUAUUUUGAACCGCAUGGUUCAAAAGUGAAAGACGGUCUUGCUGUCACUUAUAGAUGGAUCCGCGCUGCAUUAGCUAGUUGGUAAGGUAACGGCUUACCAAGGCAACGAUGCAUAGCCGACCUGAGAGGGUGAUCGGCCACACUGGAACUGAGACACGGUCCAGACUCCUACGGGAGGCAGCAGUAGGGAAUCUUCCGCAAUGGGCGAAAGACUGACGGAGCAACGCCGCGUGAGUGAUGAAGGUCUUCGGAUCGUAAAACUCUGUUAUUAGGGAAGAACAUAUGUGUAAGUAACUGUGCACAUCUUGACGGUACCUAAUCAGAAAGCCACGGCUAACUACGUG
rnacentral:rRNA from 1 species